rnacentral:rRNA from 1 species
AAAUUGAAGAGUUUGAUCAUGGCUCAGAUUGAACGCUGGCGGCAGGCCUAACACAUGCAAGUCGAACGGUAACAGGAAGCAGCUUGCUGCUUUGCUGACGAGUGGCGGACGGGUGAGUAAUGUCUGGGAAACUGCCUGAUGGAGGGGGAUAACUACUGGAAACGGUAGCUAAUACCGCAUAACGUCGCAAGACCAAAGAGGGGGACCUUCGGGCCUCUUGCCAUCGGAUGUGCCCAGAUGGGAUUAGCUAG